rnacentral:rRNA from 1 species
CAACAGGGAUUGCCUCAGUAACGGCGAGUGAAGCGGCAACAGCUCAAAUUUGAAAGCUGGCCCCCCCCGGGGGUCCGCGUUGUAAUUUGUAGAGGAUGAUUCGGCGAGGGCUCCCGCCUAAGUCCCCUGGAACGGGGCGUCAUAGAGGGUGAGAAUCCCGUAUGCGGUGGGCUGCCUUAGCCAUGUGAAUCUCCUUCGACGAGUCGAGUUGUUUGGGAAUGCAGCUCUAAAUGGGAGGUAAAUUUCUUCUAAAGCUAAAUACCGGCCAGAGACCGAUAGCGCACAAGUAGAGUGAUCGAAAGAUGAAAAGCACUUUGGAAAGAGAGUUAAAAAGUACGUGAAAUUGUUGAAAGGGAAGCGCUUGCAGCCAGACUUGCCCGCAGUUGCUCAGCCGGUCUCCUGACCGGCGCACUCUUCUGCGGCCAGGCCAGCAUCAGUUCGGGCGGUCGGAUAAAGGCCCCGGGAACGUAGCUCCUCUCGGGGAGUGUUAUAGCCCGGGGUGGAAUGCGGCCAGCCUGGACUGAGGAUCUCGCUUCGGCUAGGAUGCUGGCGUAAUGGCUGUAAGCGGCCCGUCUUGAAACACGGACCAAGGAGUCUAACAUCUAUGCGAGUGUUUGGGUGUCAAACCCAUGCGCGUAAUGAAAGUGAACGGAGGUGGGAACCCUCGCGGGUGCACCAUCGACCGAUCCUGAUGUCUUCGGAUGGAUUUGAGUAAGAGCAUAGCUGUUGGGACCCGAAAGAUGGUGAACUAUGCCUGAAUAGGGUGAAGCCAGAGGAAACUCUGGUGGAGGCUCGCAGCGGUUCUGACGUGCAAAUCGAUCGUCAAAUUUGGGUAUAGGGGCGAAAGACUAAUCGAACCAUCUAGUAGCUGGUCCCUGCCGAAGUUUCCCUCAGGAUAGCAGUAACGUAUUCAGUUUUAUGAGGUAAAGCGAAUGAUUAGAGGCCUUGGGGUUGAAACAACCUUAACCUAUUCUCAAACUUUAAAUA